rnacentral:rRNA from 1 species
GAUGAACGCUGGCGGCGUGCCUAAUACAUGCAAGUCGAGCGAAUGGAUUAAGAGCUUGCUCUUAUGAAGUUAGCGGCGGACGGGUGAGUAACACGUGGGUAACCUGCCCAUAAGACUGGGAUAACUCCGGGAAACCGGGGCUAAUACCGGAUAACAUUUUGAACCGCAUGGUUCGAAAUUGAAAGGCGGCUUCGGCUGUCACUUAUGGAUGGACCCGCGUCGCAUUAGCUAGUUGGUGAGGUAACGGCUCAACACGGCAACGAUGCGUAGCCGCCCUGAUAGGGUGUUCGGCCACACUGGGACUGAUACACGGCCCAGACUCCUACGGGAGGCAGCACUAGGUAAUCUUCCUCAAUGGACGAAAGUCUGACGGAGCAACGCCGCGUGAGUGAUGAAGGCUUUCGGGUCGUAAAACUCUGUUGUUAGGGAAGAACAAGUGCUAGUUGAAUAAGCUGGCACCUUGACGGUACCUAACCAGAAAGCCACGGCUAACUACGUGCCAGCAGCCGCCGUAA